AGUGGCGGACGGGUGAGUAACACGUAAGAAUUUGCCUUUAGGAGGGGGACAACAACUGGAAACGGUUGCUAAUACCCCAUAUGCUUUCGAGUGAAAUGGAUUUCCGCCUAAAGAGAAGCUUGCGGCCGAUUAGCUUGUUGGUAGGGUAAUGGCCUACCAAGGCGACGAUCAGUAUCUGGUUUGAGAGGACGAUCAGACACACUGGAACUGAGACACGGUCCAGACUCCUACGGGAGGCAGCAGUAGGGAAUUUUCCGCAAUGGGCGAAAGCCUGACGGAGCAAUACCGCGUGAGAGAUGACUGCCUAUGGGUUGUAAACCUCUUUUUUCAGGGAGGAAUAAAUGACGUGUACCUGAAGAAUAAGCAUCGGCUAACUCCGUGCCAGCAGCCGCGGUAAGACGGAGGAUGCAAGUGUUAUCCGGAAUCACUGGGCGUAAAGCGUCUGUAGGUGGCUCGGCAAGUCAACUGUUAAAUCUUGAAGCUCAACUUCAAAAUCGCAGUCGAAACUAUCGAACUAGAGUAUAGUAGAGGUAAAGGGAAUUUCCAGUGGAGCGGUGAAAUGCGUAGAGAUUGGAAAGAACACCGAUGGCGAAGGCACUUUACUGGGCUAUUACUGACACUCAGAGACGAAAGCUAGGGUAGCAAAUGGGAUUAGAUACCCCAGUAGUCCUAGCUGUAAACAAUGGAUACUAGGUGUUGA
rnacentral:rRNA from 1 species